rnacentral:misc_RNA from 1 species
AAAGUCGUAACAAGGUAACCGUAGGUGAACCUGCGGUUGGAUCAUUAAAAAAGAUUUUCCAAAAGUCAAAACGAGGGAUCGCCUCUGGCAGGAUCCCUUGGUUUGUCACCACAUCUUGUGAACCUGUAACCGUCUCUGGCGGGGGAGGAUCGAAAGAUUCUCGUCAGCAGCGGGGGUCUUCAUCUCUUUUCGAAGGGGUUGAAGGCUGUAACUCGGUGCCGUGGACAUCCCGCCAACCGCUUCCCUUGGAAGGUCCUCGGAUCAUCCCUGGGUACGCAUGUUUGCUCACUUUUUGAUAUCUGCUUUGGGAUUUGACUCUGAAUGGUUUGUUGGAAAAGCAAUUUUCGAACAUUAAACAAAACAAAAAAUGAUUUUAAAACAACUUUUGGCAACGGAUCUCUUGGCUCUC